AUGGCGGGGAGCACGACGGCCGCGCCGGGCGGCACCAUCGGCGCGGGCCAACCGUGGCGCGAUCGGAGGCCCUCCUCAUGGAUUUGUAGCUGUACAGCUUGUGAUCUCCUGGUUGUUUUGUCUGCCACCGGCUGGGCACCCCCGCGCCCACCACCUGCUCGUGCAAAUGCGCGGCACAGCCCAGCACUUGCACCGCCUGUUGAUCCCGAUGCCGGCUACCCUACCUCCGGGAUGCUUACUAGGAGACCAUGUGCAACCUUCUUGGUGGAGAUACCUUUGCGAAAAAUAGAGAUGCUGCCCCAGAGGACUGGCAUUAUUGCUCAAAUCAAGCUGAGGCUUGCUCCGGAUGAUUCAAGGAGCAGGGGAGGUGACUGCGAGCAUGCCUGUGAUUUGGUAUCCAGCUCCUCCUCGCAUGAGAAAAUACAGAGGUCGUGUGCUCUUUCUGAAGAAGGCGACAGCAGACCGAAGCCCAUUCACCCGGUGCCGGCUGUGAACCACUUUAAUUAA
rnacentral:rRNA from 1 species